rnacentral:rRNA from 1 species
CAAAACCGCCAGGGAAUUACGAGCCCAAGCUUAAAACCCAAAGGACUUGACGGUGUCCCACCCACCUAAAGGAGCCUGUUCUAUAAUCGAUUCUCCCCGAUAAACCUCACCACUUUUAGCCAACUCAGCCUGUAUACCUCCGUCGUAAGCUUACCAUAUGAACGCUAAUUAGUGAGCUUAAAGAUCUUUACAUCAACACGUCAGGUCARGGUGCAGCUCACGAAGUGGGAAGUAAUGGGCUACAAUUUCUAACUUARAACACACGAAAGACUACAUGAAACACAGUCAUGAAGGCGGAUUUAGCAGUAAAAAGAAAAUAGAGAGUUCUUUUUAAUUAGGCGCUGGGACGCGU